rnacentral:lncRNA from 1 species
AAAUCUCCAUCAAAGUCUCCAGCAUCACCCUCUGAUCAAAAUAUUAGCAAGGGUGAGCUCACUUAUGGUCGGGGCUCAGCAAGUGGGGGGAAAACUAAUGCAGGUAUAACAAGGUGAGGCUAAGGUUGAGCAGUAAGCAUUUUAGUUGGUCAACAUUUUAUUAACAACACCUGUCUUACUAAUAUGUGUGAAUCCCAAAUAUCCCAUUUAAACAAAGGAAUAUGAGUAUAGCAAAAACACUUAAGUGAAACCACUUAAGCAAAUUAUUGGGAGAUCAUCGGAUCUCAAUUUAAUUCCAUCUUCAAGUUCAAUUAUCAUGUGAGGAGUCCAGGUCGCUCAUAACCGGGAGCACGACUGAUAUAUCAGUUUUACACUCUGCAGAGGUGGUACAACUUUACCCACAAGCCAUGUAUCCCAUCUAGCCCGGGUUGAUCGGACCCUUAAACACUGCUGAAGGUGAAUGGCUAGGGAUCCGUUAUGAGGCUUUCACAAAAUAUACUUAAUACGAAGCAACCCGCUAAGGUUUCUAAAGACGAUGGUGGUGGCCCCCUGGGUGAGGUACCUUAGACAAGAAUAUGUCCCCAUGUUAACGUGGGCUGCCAGCACCUACCGCUUCCCCUCUUGCCCAUGUUUCAGGUAAGGUUGCGAGGCACUAAGCAUAUAAUGCUAAUUACCAAAGCCAGAGCCAUGAUAGCACUCGUGGUUGCACUGUUAUCCUGGGUGGUCACUCCAUGUUCCAAUUAAUUUAAAAUAAUGUUAUCUUAACCAUCGGGUUAAUGUCAUAAUUGCCAAUUAAAUUUUUGGAACAUUAAAACCAAUUAAUGAGUGACAUUAAAAAUCAUUAAGUUGAGCGAUAGCAUAAAUUUUGCACAGCUUAAUAAUUUUCCCAGGUUAAACAAGGAAUACAGGUAGUAAAUCUAGGAAAUCCUUAAUUAGGUAAACCCAUCAAAUUAUGCAAUAUAUCAAAAAGUAAACAUUAUUAUAUGCAAUGAGUAGGUACAAACAGAAUAUGCAGAGGGAGAAUCCACUUGCCUUGCUCAAAUGCGUCCUGUGGAUCAUCUUCGAACGAAUUCGGAUCCUUUACCACACAAUCGGCUUCUAAUAACGAUUCGCAUAUCGUACAAACAAAAGAAAUCAUUCACCAAUAAAUACACACGCACCAUUCAACAAACAAUGAAACAUACACUUUACAAAUCAUACAUAUAAAAGGAAGACAUCUAAAAAUAAACCUUGAUUUGUAAUUAUAAUAUAAGUCUAUCCAUAUCGACGAUAGUCUCAUUUGCUACGAGGUAAACUACUAAUAAUUUAGUCUCGAGAAUACACUAGAGGAAUCUAUAUGGCAAAUUGACUAUGGAGGUAUAUACUAUAUGGAUUCAUUUAAAAAUACAUAAAUGUGGUGCUAAUUCAAACUUUAUAGAAUCUAGAAAAUUAACCAAUUAAUUAUUGUAUUUCUACCGGAAAGGAUGUAGGUAAUAUUUUAUUAUUUCUUUCUAAAAGAAAAUUAUAGUAAACGUUACAACCUUAUUUAAAAAGUCACAUAACCUUGAUAUUUAAAAGAACUAAAUUAACCUACCAAUUUAAUUCUACUAUUUAGUUUAUAGUAGACAUAGUCGCUAUAUUAUUUUAUUAAUCGAGGCUCUAGCAUGACUAGCAAUUUGUAUAUAAUCACACAUACGAACACAUACGGUGUGACUAAAAUAUAUAAUUCAUUCUGAGCAAAGACAACCGUAGAAUUAUUCAUCUAGUAUUAUUGUUACAAAUAUAUGGUUUACCUAUCCCUUAAUCUUUUACUCUAACAAACUAUAUUUAAAUUAAUGUCAACAAUCAUAAUCAAAUUAAAAUACACAAACGUGAAAGACAGCAUACACUAAUUAAAAUAGAUCAUCACAUACAUAUGAAAUUAAUCGUUCAGUAUAAACAUGAUUUCAGACUCAAAAUUCACAACUAAAAAUUAUAAUUCGCCACAGAAGUUAGAUCGUGAUUAACUAACUCUUUUGAACUAAGAAAUAAUCUCACACAAAAUAAUCUAUCUAUAGGGAUUAGACACAAAAUAUUCUUUUUCUACCUCUCCUUUCUCUUGUGCAGUGAACGAGGACGAAUGGGGCAGGUAGUCGGGUGUCGGGGGAAAGUCGUCGGGACGCAGCGUCGGCUUCGGAGUUCCGGUCAACGGUGAACGGCUCCAGCGGCGAGCGGCUCCGGUCAGCGGUGAACGGUGAGGACCAUGCCACGGAGGAGGGAGUUCGAUGGAGGUGCGGCUGGGGAGCUCGGAGUGGGCUUGGGACGGAUGGGGACUGGCUCUAUGGGGGCACGGUCGAGUUUUGUAGAGGUGUGGGAAGGUGUAACGGACGCCGGUAGAGCUUCAUUGGCCAUUAAU